GACGAACGCUGGCGGCGUGCCUAAUACAUGCAAGUAGAACGCUGAAGGAGGAGCUUGCUUCUCUGGAUGAGUUGCGAACGGGUGAGUAACGCGUAGGUAACCUGCCUGGUAGCGGGGGAUAACUAUUGGAAACGAUAGCUAAUACCGCAUAAGAGUAGAUGUUGCAUGACAUUUGCUUAAAAGGUGCAAUUGCAUCACUACCAGAUGGACCUGCGUUGUAUUAGCUAGUUGGUGGGGUAACGGCUCACCAAGGCGACGAUACAUAGCCGACCUGAGAGGGUGAUCGGCCACACUGGGACUGAGACACGGCCCAGACUCCUACGGGAGGCAGCAGUAGGGAAUCUUCGGCAAUGGACGGAAGUCUGACCGAGCAACGCCGCGUGAGUGAAGAAGGGUUUCGGAUCGUAAAGCUCGGUUGUAAGAGAAGAACGAGUGUGAGAGUGGAAAGUUCACACUGUGACGGUAUCUUACCAGAAAGGGACGGCUAACUACGUG
rnacentral:rRNA from 1 species